rnacentral:tRNA from 1 species
GGAGGAGUGGCAGAGUGGUCGAUUGCGCUCUCCUGCUAAGGGAGUGAAUGUUAGUAGCGUUCCGAGGGUUCGAAUCCCUCCUCCUCGGCCA